rnacentral:rRNA from 1 species
GGAGGGAGCUAGCGUUGUUCGGAAUCACUGGGCGUAAAGGGCGCGUAGGCGGCCGAGUAAGUCGUGUGUGAAAGACCGGGGCUCAACUCCGUGUACUGCAUGCGAUACUGCCCGGGCUAGAGAAAGGUAGAGGCGAGUGGAAUUCCCGGUGUAGCGGUGGAAUGCGUAGAUAUCGGGAAGAACACCUGUGGCGAAGGCGGCUCGCUGGGCCUUUUCUGACGCUGAAGUGCGAAAGCGUGGGGAGCAAACAGGAUUAGAUACCCUGGUAGUCCACGCCGUAAACGAUGGGCACUAGGCGUUGGGAGGAUUGACCCUCUCAGUGCCGUAGCUAACGCGUUAAGUGCCCCCGCCUGGGGAUACGGCCGCAAGGCUG